rnacentral:misc_RNA from 1 species
AAGUCGUAACAAGGUUUCCGUAGGUGAACCUGCGGAAGGAUCAUUAACACGUUUCUAUCAUAAAACGUAACACCAAACGCGAACUAAGUUAUUUAGAUCCUAGACUAUGCAUGUGAAUUGACGACCGUAUAAUAUAAUGAUGUGGACAAUCUUCUGAUUGUCAUGUUAUAUGGUUACAAGUUGUACCUAACCGUACAGACAAUUGUGAUGCAUUAGUCAGGACAUACCCCUUGCUUGUAACUCUCCUCACACCAUGUGAGUUCAAGUGAGAACAUUAUUCACACAUUUCACCAUACUUUUUGCUAGUUGACUUUAUCAUGUUAUUAUUCGUAAGGAUCGUAACACGUUUAUUAAUUGAACGUUAAAUUGUACAACUCUUAGCAAUGGAUAUCUUGGUUCUC